UACAGAGGUCUCAAGCGUUGUUCGGAUUCAUUGGGCGUAAAGGGUGCGUAGGCGGCGCGGUAAGUCGGGGUGUGAAAACUCUGGGCUCAACCCAGAGCCGCCACCUGAUACUGCUGUGACUCGAGUGCGGUAGGGGGAGGCGGGGAAUUCCUGGUGUAGCGGUGAAAAUGCGCAGAUAUCAGGAGGAACACCAGUGGCGAAGGCGCCGCUCUGGGCCGUGACUGACGCUGAGGAGCGAAAGCGUGGGUAGCAAACAGG
rnacentral:rRNA from 1 species